rnacentral:lncRNA from 13 species
UCUGUAGCUGCACAAACAGGAGACCCCUCAAACAAACAGUGGUGUGUCCUCCUGCCCACAGGUGACAUAGCACAGGUGCCUCAGAACAGAUGUGUGGGAAAAGUUCUGGGACCAGAGGCUGGAGGGAGCCUGGGAUGAUGACUGAGAGGUGGGAAGAAAAGGGAAGUUGUGGCACUGCCCAGCAGAGAUGACCGAAUUUUUCCCUUGGGAUAUGGAGUGAGGACUGAAGUAUAGCAGCGAGCUUUGGCUCUUCAAGUCCUUUGCCAAAGUAAGGCAGAUAAAUGUAAAUUUUGCUAUGUCUUACUAAAAGCUUUAAGGAAAAAACAUCUUUGCUUCUAAAUACAGUUAAAAUCACUUUGGGUCUAAAAAAAUUUGAAAAGGUGAAUUGAGCACAGUGAUUAGGCAGCUUUGCUUCUGGCACAUGGAAAUUACUUAAUACAACCACAGUAUCAAACAGAAGAGAUACAGCAAUAGUCAGCUUUCUGUCCCAUAUCUUCAAACAAUGCAUUGAGAUUUAUUUCAGUCAGUAUAUUGCAAUAGCUGCAGCAGCUAAUUUAGUGGAAGAAAUAAGAAAGUGGAAGAAAUGACACAGAGGAACAAGUCCAGUUAUUUGCAUACUUAGUAGACUUCCUGAAGCUGGAAGUAAAGAGUGUUUAUGGCAUCAAAAUUCCCUGCACACAACCUUCCUCUGCACCUUAACUGGCAGUUUACUGUAAACACCAAAGUAUCAACAUGUCUUAAGGUUGGAUUUUAAGUUGAAUACUAAUUAAUUUGAGCAGGGUUUUCUAGAUUUAAGGGAUAGUAGGAAAGACAGGUUUGGGCACAAAUAAAGAGUCAGCAAAAACUGGCAUCUAGCUGAAGUAUUGGAUGAUAGGUGAAAAUGAUUGUGGAGGACCAAUCUCAUUGAGGCCUGUAGAUGUAAGGAUUAAAUGAAAAGAUGUUAAGAAAUGAAAAGAUGAAAAAAAUGAAAAAAUGAAAGGUGUCAACAGAACUUCUGACUGCUUUUAACGGCAUUUCUGAAAGAUGUAAUUUAAAAUGUGUAUGACCAGUGUAUAAAUUGGUUUUGUACCAUUCUGGUUAGUUUUGGUAGUGUUCUGGUUGCUGCCAAAGCAAGAGCUGAUUG